rnacentral:lncRNA from 1 species
UCCGAAUGAAUAAUAGUUGUUUUUCUCCUUUUUUGGGGAUCUUUGCUUCCACUGAUUAUGUUGAGUACACCAAACAAAUUCUCUUGAAAAUUCUUCAUAUUUGUACUUCCUUGGAUCACCAUCUAUCGAAUUGCUUUCCAUCCAACUUUGCAAUUUAGAUCUUGAAUUUGUAGAUAGCAAUGUAACGUCUUCUCUAACAUCGUCUACAACAAAACAACCAAUAUAACAACUAAAUAAAUUUUUUUAAUGAAUAAUCAAUCUAAAAUUUAAACAAAUUAAAAUACCUAAACGAAAAGGUGAUGUAACCAUAGAAAAAGGUGCGGUAUUCUUUGACAUUACCUUCCAAACAACCACUACACGAACAGGAAAACGGAAAUUAG